CGCGCCUGCAAUACCCGUUACAACGAAAUAUGUGUUUCUGUAACUGGCUUUGCCCUCUUGAUUGAGGGCUUUUUUAUGACGG
rnacentral:sRNA from 1 species